GUGAGGAAUAUUGGACAAUGGGCGCAAGCCUGAUCCAGCCAUGCCGCGUGCAGGAAGACGCAUCUAUGGUGUGUAAACUGCUUUUGUACGGGAAGAAACACUCCCUCGUGAGGGAGCUUGACGGUACCGUAAGAAUAAGGAUCGGCUAACUCCGUGCCAGCAGCCGCGGUAAUACGGAGGAUCCAAGCGGUAUCCGGAAUCAUUGGGUUUAAAGGGUCCGUAGGCGGUUUAAUAAGUCAGUGGUGAAAGCCCAUCGCUCAACGAUGGAACGGCCAUUGAUACUGUUAGACUUGAAUUACAAGGAAGUAACUAGAAUAUGUAGUGUAGCGGUGAAAUGCUUAGAUAUUACAUGGAAUACCAAUUGCGAAGGCAGGUUACUACUUGUGGAUUGACGCUGAUGGACGAAAGCGUGGGGAGCGAACAGGAUUAGAUACCCCGGUAGUCC
rnacentral:rRNA from 1 species